rnacentral:SRP_RNA from 1 species
CCGUGCUAGACGGGGAGAUAGCGGUGCCCUGUACCCGCAAUCCGCUGUAGCGGGGUCGAAUUCCGGUUCCCGGCUCCUCUCCUGUGGGGUCGGCCCGGCGUAAGUGGCGAAGAUGGCCGGGUCCUACGCAACGAAAACCUGUGAACCCCGUCAGGUCCGGAAGGAAGCAGCGGUAAGCAGUGUUUUUCGUGGGCCGUAGGGAAGUCCGGCCAGAGCCAACUGCGCUGGUAACGUCCGGAGGAGAAUGCCAAAAGCCGGUGCACGG